GACGAACGCUGGCGGCGUGCUUAACACAUGCAAGUCGAACGAAAAGGCGCUGCUUUUGUGGGUUGCUCGAGUGGCGAACGCGUGAGUAAAACGUGAGUAACAUGCACUUGACUUUGGGAUAACUUCAGGGAAAAGGGGCUAAUACAGGAUAGGAGCUCCUGCUGCAUGGUGGGGGUUGGAAAGAUUCGGCUGUUGGGGCUGGACUCGCGGCUUAUCAGCUUGUUGGGGGGGUAGUGGCUUACCAAGGCUUUGACGGGUAGCCGGCCUGAGAGGGUGACCGGCCACAUUGGGACUGAGAGACGGCCCAGACUCCUACGGGAGGCAGCAGUGGGGAAUAUUGCACAAUGGGCGGAAGCCUGAUGCAGCAACGCCGCGUGCGGGAUGACGGCCUUCGGGUUGUAAACCGCUUUCGCCGGUGACGAAGCGUGAGUGACGGUAAUGGGUAAAGAAGCACCGGCUAACUACGUG
rnacentral:rRNA from 1 species